AAGAAGAAGAGGAAGAAGAAGAGAAAAUGGAAACAAAGA
rnacentral:sRNA from 1 species